rnacentral:rRNA from 1 species
GCACAAGCGGUGGAGCAUGUGGUUCAAUUCGAAGCAACGCGCAGAACCUUACCAGCCCUUGACAUGUCCCGUAUGAGUACCAGAGAUGGAACUCUUCAGUUCGGCUGGCGGGAACACAGGUGCUGCAUGGCUGUCGUCAGCUCGUGUCGUGAGAUGUUGGGUUAAGUCCCGCAACGAGCGCAACCCUCGCCCUUAGUUGCCAUCAUUUAGUUGGGCACUCUAAGGGGACUGCCGGUGAUAAGCCGCGAGGAAGGUGGGGAUGACGUCAAGUCCUCAUGGCCCUUACGGGCUGGGCUACACACGUGCUACAAUGGCGGUGACAGUGGGAUGCAGAGGGGUAACCCCGAGCAAAUCUCAAAAAGCCGUCUCAGUUCGGAUUGUGCUCUGCAACUCGAGCACAUGAAGUUGGAAUCGCUAGUAAUCGCAGAUCAGCACGCUGCGGUGAAUACGUUCCCGGGC